rnacentral:rRNA from 1 species
AUUGAACGCUGGCGGCAUGCUUUACACAUGCAAGUCGAACGGUAACAGGCCGCAAGGUGCUGACGAGUGGCGAACGGGUGAGUAAUGCAUCGGAACGUGCCCAGUCGUGGGGGAUAACGCAGCGAAAGCUGCGCUAAUACCGCAUACGAUCUAUGGAUGAAAGCGGGGGACCGUAAGGCCUCGCGCGAUUGGAGCGGCCGAUGUCAGAUUAGGUAGUUGGUGGGGUAAAGGCUCACCAAGCCAACGAUCUGUAGCUGGUCUGAGAGGACGACCAGCCACACUGGGACUGAGACACGGCCCAGACUCCUACGGGAGGCAGCAGUGGGGAAUUUUGGACAAUGGGCGCAAGCCUGAUCCAGCAAUGCCGCGUGCAGGAAGAAGGCCUUCGGGUUGUAAACUGCUUUUGUACGGAACGAAACGGUCUGGGUUAAUACCUCGGGCUAAUGACGGUACCGUAAGAAUAAGCACCGGCUAACUACGUGCCAGCAGCAGCCGCCGCC